rnacentral:tRNA from 1 species
GCGGGAGUAACUCAGUUGGUAGAGUUACAGCCUUCCAAGCUGUCUGUCGCGGGUUCGAGUCCCGUCUCCCGCU